AAUACCAUGUUGAAUAUACCGGUUCUCGUUAGAUCACCGAAGUCAAGCAUCAUUGGGCGCGGUCAGUACUUGGGUGGGUGACCACCUAGGAACACCGCGUGCCGUU
rnacentral:rRNA from 1 species